rnacentral:rRNA from 1 species
AUUGAACGCUAGCGGGAUGCUUUACACAUGCAAGUCGAACGGCAGCGCGGACUUCGGUCUGGCGGCGAGUGGCGAACGGGUGAGUAAUGUAUCGGAACGUGCCCAGUAGCGGGGGAUAACUACGCGAAAGCGUAGCUAAUACCGCAUACGCCCUACGGGGGAAAGCAGGGGAUCGUAAGACCUUGCACUAUUGGAGCGGCCGAUAUCGGAUUAGCUAGUUGGUGAGGUAACGGCUCACCAAGGCGACGAUCCGUAGCUGGUUUGAGAGGACGACCAGCCACACUAGGACUGAGACACGGCCCAGACUCCUACGGGAGGCAGCAGUGGGGAAUUUUGGACAAUGGGGGCAACCCUGAUCCAGCCAUCCCGCGUGUGCGAUGAAGGCCUUCGGGUUGUAAAGCACUUUUGGCAGGAAAGAAACGUCGCGGGCUAAUACCCCGUGGAACUGACGGUACCUGCAGAAUAAGCACCGGCUAAGUACGUG